UGGGGAAUUUUGGACAAUGGGCGAAAGCCUGAUCCAGCAAUGCCGCGUGUGUGAAGAAGGCCUUCGGGUUGUAAAGCACUUUUGUCCGGAAAGAAAUCCUUGGCUCUAAUACAGUCGGGGGAUGACGGUACCGGAAGAAUAAGCACCGGCUAACUACGUGCCAGCAGCCGCGGUAAUACGUAGGGUGCAAGCGUUAAUCGGAAUUACUGGGCGUAAAGCGUGCGCAGGCGGUUUGCUAAGACCGAUGUGAAAUCCCGGGCUCAACCUGGGAACUGCAUUGGUGACUGGCAGGCUAGAGUAUGGCAGAGGGGGGUAGAAUUCCACGUGUAGCAGUGAAAUGCGUAGAGAUGUGGAGGAAUACCGAUGGCGAAGGCAGCCCCCUGGGCCAAUACUGACGCUCAUGCACGAAAGCGUGGGGAGCAAACAGGAUUAGAUACCCUGGUAGUCCACGCCCUAAACGAUGUCAACUAGUUGUUGGGGAUUCAUUUCCUUAGUAACGUAGCUAACGCGUGAAGUUGACCGCCUGGGGAGUACGGUCGCAAGAUUAAAACUCAAAGGAAUUGACGGGGU
rnacentral:rRNA from 1 species